UGGGGAAUAUUGCACAAUGGGCGCAAGCCUGAUGCAGCCAUGCCGCGUGUAUGAAGAAGGCCUUCGGGUUGUAAAGUACUUUCAGCGGGGAGGAAGGUGUUGUGGUUAAUAACCACAGCAAUUGACGUUACCCGCAGAAGAAGCACCGGCUAACUCCGUGCCAGCAGCCGCGGUAAUACGGAGGGUGCAAGCGUUAGUCGGAAUUACUGGGCGUAAAGCGCACGCAGGCGGUCUGUCAAGUCGGAUGUGAAAUCCCCGGGCUCAACCUGGGAACUGCAUCCGAAACUGGCAGGCUUGAGUCUUGUAGAGGGGGGUAGAAUUCCAGGUGUAGCGGUGAAAUGCGUAGAGAUCUGGAGGAAUACCGGUGGCGAAGGCGGCCCCCUGGACAAAGACUGACGCUCAGGUGCGAAAGCGUGGGGAGCAAACA
rnacentral:rRNA from 1 species